UACAGAGGUCCCAAGCGUUGUUCGGAUUCACUGGGCGUAAAGGGUGCGUAGGUGGUGAGGUAAGUCGGAUGUGAAAUCUCCGAGCUCAACUCGGAAAUUGCAUUGGAAACUACCUUGCUAGAGGGUUGGAGGGGGGACUGGAAUACUUGGUGUAGCAGUGAAAUGCGUAGAUAUCAAGUGGAACACCAGUGGCGAAGGCGGGUCUCUGGACAGUUCCUGACGCUGAGGCACGAAGGCCAGGGGAGCAAACGGG
rnacentral:rRNA from 1 species